AAGAGUAUAGUUUAAUGGGUAAAAUAGGAAGCUUCAAACUUCAAAUUUUCUGUUCAAGUCAGGAUGCUCUUG
rnacentral:tRNA from 1 species